CCGGCCGCGACACCGGUGAACCUAGCUUUGCCGACCCACAACGAAAAGGACCACGCCCCCGCGCUCCUUCGGGUACGGCGCGGCGCACGUUUUUCGAAACGGUUAGGCGAGGGGCGUGAACACGGGUUAGGGUAAGAGAGGGCAGGACGAGGUGUGGUCGGCGGUGUGUUGGGAUCGGGGAAGGAGUAGCUAGGGGUGUCGGGGAGGGAGGAGGAGCAAGGAGCGGUCCCGGGUAGGGGUGUUGGGGAGGGAGGAGGAUCGAGGAGCGGUACCGGAGGCGGGAUCCUCGGAGCGGGCCCGGAGGAUGAGGGAGAGGUGGUGGCAUCCACGUGUGUCUGCCGCCUAGGCACGGCCUCUUCUCGUCGAGACCACCCCACGUCGACGUUGCCUCUACUUCCUCCAGGCGGCGGGCAGAAACGGAGGAGUUGUACAGGAACAACAACUCGGAUCGUCGCGUCGUCAGCCCCUGUUCCCUUUCCUCGUCCGGCUGGGCUGGCGUAGAGAAACGUGCUCCUGACCUCCUCGUCCAGCGCUCCCUUCGGCCGUGCCGGUCGCCCCCGCGACGUGUCCCUACGGGCGGAGGCCAAAAGAUAGGACAGAGGGUUAGGGGGAGGGUGGAGGAGCGAGACUCCUUAACCCGUUACCGUGCCCCCACCUUGACCGGCUCCUUCUCCCGCUGGCACUCCCCAACCUCCGGUUCCUUCUCCCGCUGUUGCGUUCCCACUUGCUCCCAUACGGACACCAGCAGCGCAACACUUUGCUGCGCUGACCCCUAUGUAUAAACAAAGGAAGGAGAGGAGUUGCUGCUCGAGACGAAGAACUCGAACGUCCAACACCUGAAAGAGAAGAGGAGAACAACCGAACGAGAGACUAGUUCGGUACCUUCCAUGCAGAGGUAGAGAACCGAGGUGUUCCCUAUACACCUCUCUCGAAAUGAUAACCGUCACCGACGUAGUAAAGCUGUUCACCGUACUAACUAGAAACGAUACACCUAGCUACCGUACUAGAUUUAAUCCAUUCGUUUCCACUGUAACAAAAGUCAUGUAGUCAAAUAACUUAUAAAACUUCCAAACUCGACGUAUUGAAUAUGUUAAAAUCAACGAAUAGAAAUAGUACAAUAGGUUAAGAAUGGUAUGGUAAACCAUCUAUUUACACGGCUAGAUGGUAAAAUCUUAAUCAUGACAAAAAGUCGAUACACAUUAACCAGUUGAUACACGACAAUCAGUCGGUGAAGGUGAAAACCUACUAAUUAAAAAACGUACUUCCAAGUCUCUUACCGAAUAUAACGGAAGGUCAGGUGCACAAUUUGGCUUUUCACGGAAUGUACUUCUGACUACCGUUAUACCAAACCCGUAUCUCAAUUAUUACAACAGAUUAAUAACACCCUACUAUAAGGGUGACUAGUACUUUUGAUGUUGGUUCUACAUGGUUGAAAACGGAACGAUGAAACUACACAUGAAUAAUUUUGUCUACGAGCCGAACGGAACAGAAAAAACAACGGAGAAAAACCAGAACCAUUCAUGUUCAUGACCAACAAUAGGGGGGAAACCUGCAACUUACAUUAAAAUUCCAGAAGCAUUCCUACCUAUCCACGACCCACGGUAGGUCUAGAAACACAACCUACGACCCUCGUUAAGAGUCUAACAGACACGUACUUAACCAGUUAAGAGGAAAGAGAACGUCUCACAGAAUAAAUAGGCUCCACCUAAGAAUAGAAGAAUGGUGUACGAACCAUUUACGUGUAAAAAGAAAGUAAAACCGAUCUGAAUCCGUCGGAAUGUGUUAAAUCUAUAGAAAAUGUCCUUGAAUAAGUUGGUCACACAACACUUAUACUUUGCCGUGUGUAACAAUGAAAUCACUCUUCAAGGACUUGUACCAGAGAUACAGAGACUGAACCAACUAACCCAAAGAAGACAAUAGGUCAGAGAGUGAUCCGAAUAAUGGAAACAACGACUUAAAACGGAUGUUAUAUAUAUUAACUGAGUGUACUGGUAGAAAUCAUGAAAUAUGAACCCAUCCUUUAAGUGCUAUUAGAAGGUUACGGCAUCGAACCUAUUUAUUAACACCGUAGUUUCAAUUUUGAUGUUUCUUCUACUACCCUGUACUGAAUUAUAGUUUAAAAGAUCUCAGACCGUACCGUAAAUAAACACUGACGUACCGGACUUAACCCGUAGAUACCUUUGUACAAUUCGAGAACGAACCGUAAAUAAACACUGACGUGCCGGACUUAACCCGUAGAUACCCUUGUACAAUUCGAGAACGAAAACCUGUUAAUCCGACGGCAUUGAACGACCAAAUUAUAUGCGCACAGACGCCUUAAACGUUUACUUAGUAAUAGAGUCCAAAUCAGUACGUGUACCGGUGAUUAGUGUUGUUCCCAAUCCUUGUUCAGAUGAUAGAACUAAAAUUCAUUGACUUUAUAUGUAUAUCAAUUGAUACCAAAAUUCGAUGUGAAAUCAGAACAGGACUAUUGAUCUUGACGACACUACAACGAGACAAUAUUCAUGUAACGGAUGUGGUCAACUUUAUUGAGUACCAACGGAAAAGAAAACAAACAGGUCCGUUACAUACCAUCUUCCACAUUUAUCACAUCUAAGUCACAAGACAUAUAAAUACUUUAAGUGUUAGUCGUCACAGUACACACUACGCGGUACUUAGCAUCACUCGAAUAAAGAAACGUGUGAACCACAUAGGAGAAUAGUAGAAAACAUGUCCAGGACCUUACCUUUCUAGUCAAACCACCACGGUAUGAUUUAGUUAAUACAUCCGAACCGUGGAGGGAACUAACCAGGCACUCCAUAUGAAGAAUAAAAGGAAUCAAUUCUUUUUAUUUCUUUUGUUUAUUUGUUACAUAACAGAUAUCAAGGUUGAGGAUUACAGUUGAAUUAAAGGUGGAGCACACAGUCAGGAAAUGUUACCUACUCAUUUCCAGUUUUGACAUUAACUUCGAAAACAGCCCAACAUAUUUCUACCGGAAUAAAUAUCCAAUCAUAGGAGUAGAAGGGAACAAGGUCCACAAUUCGUAAACACAAAACGGACAAUUCAUUACGGUACCACAAAACUGUAGCUCGAUACUCAGUCACAUGACCAAACUAUCUAGCAUAACAGUAUAAGUGGAGAAGAAACCUUUAUUUCAUCUUAAUCAAUCAAAAUCCAAACUUACAGUCCGUUUUUAGUUUACCCUCUUCGCUGGAUAGUCAGGUCUAAGAUUAACAAUAAACCACAACUCUAAGUAUACCGACUGUGUAUUAAAAUUGACCCGCUAAAGUCUACAUUAGAUAACGGAGAGACUACACUAGACGAUGUUUUAAUACAGAGUCGGUAGAGAUAAAUGUAAUGAUGACAUUCGAAGACUUUCCAUUUAAUACGAUCCUGUUAAGAACAAAUCGAAAUUGAUACUAUAGGAUUUACGCGUUGAUUUAUGAUGACCCUAGUGCUGAUGUUUUUUAUAAUACUGUACGCUUGUUAAGAACCAACUUUAUGACACUCGAAUUUAUUGUCCUCGAUUUGACAAAACGACACAAAUCUUAACCAUGAUCUUUUCUAUUAGAUUUAACAUUUAAGACUUUCAUAUAACCUGAGAACGGGAAAACUUUAAUCAGAAGAUUCGUAAUGAAACAUUGUUUACUGUACUAUUGAACGACCAAGUCAAAUUUCAACGUCCGUUUGCGAACGCCAUCCCCUUUUAAGAAUAAGUACCGUAGAAAAACACCGAUGUUAUUAGUAAGGGCACUAAUUAGGAACACAAAACACGACAUCUCGUUGGGAGUCGACCAGUAGUAGCGAGUACUACAACUGGGUCAACUCGACCAACACACCAAGGGUCGGGACACGUUCUUUAACCCUCCAGGGUAUGGCGUAACAAUUCCCUCUUAGUGUGGCACCUGGGACAUCCAUAAAGGAUUACAUUCACAGCACAAAAGGAAGAAACACGUGGACCUGCCCUCACGAGUACUCUCGCUGCUGUACGAUGACUUGAGUUAAAGUCUCUACUUAAACCCCCGGUCGCCAGACCUCGGGGAGUAAUCUUCACGAGUCCGCCGUACAGUGUCAACAAACGACUCUUAAAUGGUCCUUGUUAAAAACGAACAGAGAUCGUACUCCGAUACUCGGGAUAUCAUCAAGGUCACACUACUAGAUGGUGAACAGAUCCUUCCCCCUAAUUUUCUACCGUGAACAGUAAACCUCGUUAAUCAUAACCUGGUAAACUCCUUCAUUUACAAAUUUGGUGAUUUGGAAUAUGAGUAAACAUUUUUCCAAUACACAAAAAAAUUAGGUAAUCGUCUCAAUCAAACAGAUCUUAUUGAUUGAUAGACCUCAAGACCUGAUUAUACCUUACUACUUUUAAAGUCUUGAUCUAUAUUUUAAACUACGCAGACCGAACAAAUUGAACGUCAGAAAUAAAGAUUAUUAAAACAACAACAACUCCAACGGGGAUCCAAAAUAAUGACACCCAGAUUAAAUCUAUUAAACUUUUAUCAGGAUAUAUCCUCAUACGAGUAGAUAUUGUCAACCCUCCCUUUAGUAUGGUUAAUGUCUAAAACAGUUUUGAACCGUAAUGAUAUACGUAUUUAGAUUUAAUAACAAGUAUUACCUAAGUGGUGAUGACAUGUAUUCGAUGUAAACGAUACAUAUAUUCGGCUUAAUCAUCGUGAUACAGGACAAAAGAACGAAGUUAUGGCACAUGACGGAGAAAUGAAACAAGAGGUGUAAAAUUUAAAGUAGAAAGAAACCUUCAUAUCAGCGGUUGAAUACCAGACGUAACACAUAUUGGCUUUACUCACUUCAAAGGAUUAUGGUAACAGAUAUUGACUUUACUCACAUCAAAGCAUUAUGGUUUCGUACACGUGAGUGUAUAAACAGAGAGAAAAUCACAACGACUUACGUAUUUUUUGUACGUGUGCCGGUUUUCAAUUUUUUCAGGCUCCAUAACCCAAAAGUAAAAAGAGAAUCUUAACAAGUACAACUACGACAACAGUAAAAAAGACUUUAAAUCUGUUGAGAAAGGCGAAUUAUUAUCAAAUGGCUAAAGUCACGUAGGAUACAUACAAACUGACUAACCAGCAGGAGAGUAGGUCUCAAUGAGUUACAACGUAAACACACAAGGAAAUGGGGUGAAACGAAUAAAAAACCAGUACACUCGCCCAACACACAAUAACAAAGGUAGCAGUAAAUCAUACGACUACAAAAAAUUCUACUGAAGAUAUAACGACCUUUGAAUUUAAAAUUAAAUGUGUAAACUCGUCGACUGAUCUAGUUCUUUAUUAAAAACAUUCUAACUCCGGUCAAAUAAACCAUUCCAUCUUCUUUUUAUCCUACUUAUACGUGUACAAUAAUGACAUGCUUCCGAUUUGCGACUUAUAGUAACUACCAAGAAAGGACUCCAACUCAUCCUCACAGAGGGAAAAAGCAUAUUAAAACAGAGGUGUUAAAGGAUUUCUUAUCAAACCAAGAUCUUGUUUGUACGAUACUUAUUAACGUAACAAUGAAGUCACUUUUCAAGGACCCGUUUGAUACACAAGGAGACCUGAACCAACUUUCAUAAAGAAAACAAUAGGUUAAAGAGUGAUGUGUACAAUGGAAACAAAGACUUAAAACGGAUGUUAAAGAUAUAUCAUCUGAGUGUACUAAUGGAGUACGCCUAAGAUAUUGAACCUUUUGUGUAGAUCCUAUAAGUACAACACACACCACGGGACCUCUUUCGAAACGAUGAGGUCAGUCGGUGAAUGUGCUGUUGGGUCUUAACUAAGUAUUAAAGUACAAAUGUGAAGAUAAUGUCAUCUGGUUGUACAGUAUUUGUACCACAACCAGUAACAAACAGGUCAAGGGAAGUUUUUUUCUUCUCUACCGUCCCUCACCGAGGUAGUGACUUCUCUGCUGUUUGUAAAACGUUCCGUAACAAAUAAGUCCAGGAAGUUUUUUAUUUCCUUAAUGUUACGUAGAUUGGAUAUUUCCCCGACACUUCCUGUUUUACGAUACCUGGGUCUCCUCACCCUCCCCUCUUAAAUGGUUGUUACGUAGUUCCUGUUUCGCACUGGACCAAAGGAUUCAAGGUCGAUUGUAUCGUUUUAACAUAUCUCUCUUACGGGCGUAAAAAGAUAAUGUAUCAAACUCCGAUACAAAGAAAAUAAAAAGUAAUAAUUUUCGUAGAAAUAGUAACGGUUUAAUAGUUCGUAAAUAAAAGUUUAUUGAGAACCAAACUUCACCCCGGAACGAGGUAAACCACGUUACUCAUUACAAUAAUAUGCAGAAUAACAUCUGUGGUUCGGAAACAAGAAAAAAACGCUUCUCCCCAAUUUAAACAAUUUGGUACG
rnacentral:rRNA from 1 species